rnacentral:rRNA from 1 species
UGAUCCUGGCUCAGGAUGAACGCUAGCGGCAGGCUUGACACAUGCAAGUCGAGGGGUAACAUUGUAGCUUGCUACAGAUGACGACCGGCGCACGGGUGCGUAACGCGUAUAGAACUUACCUUUUACAGAGGGAUAGCCUUUAGAAAUGAAGAUUAAUACCUCAUAGUAUUAUUGAUUGGCAUCAAUUAAUAAUUAAAGAUUUAUCGGUAAAAGAUGGCUAUGCGUCCUAUUAGCUAGAUGGUAAGGUAAUGGCUUACCAUGGCUACGAUAGGUAGGGGCCCUGAGAGGGGGAUCCCCCACACUGGUACUGAGACACGGACCAGACUCCUACGGGAGGCAGCAGUGAGGAAUAUUGGGCAAUGGAGGUAACUCUGACCCAGCCAUGCCGCGUGCAGGAAGACUGCCCUAUGGGUUGUAAACUGCUUUUAUACAGGAAGAAACACUCGUACGUGUACGAGCUUGACGGUACUGUAAGAAUAAGGACCGGCUAACUCCGUGCCAGCAGCCGCGGUAAUACGGAGGGUCCGAGCGUUAUCCGGAAUCAUUGGGUUUAAAGGGUCCGCAGGCGGUCAAUUAAGUCAGAGGUGAAAUCCCAUAGCUUAACUAUGGAACUGCCUUUGAUACUGGUUGACUUGAGUCAUAUGGAAGUAGAUAGAAUGUGUAGUGUAGCGGUGAAAUGCAUAGAUAUUACACAGAAUACCGAUUGGGAAGGCAGUCUACUACGUAUGUACUGACGCUCAUGGACGAAAGCGUGGGGAGCGAACAGGAUUAGAUACCCUGGUAGU